CCUACGGGAGGCAGCAGUGAGGAAUAUUGGUCAAUGGGCGUAAGCCUGAACCAGCCAAGUCGCGUGAGGGAUGAAGGUUCUAUGGAUCGUAAACCUCUUUUAUAAGGGAAUAAAGUGUGGGACGUGUCCUAUUUUGUAUGUACCUUAUGAAUAAGGAUAGGCUAACUCCGUGCCAGCAGCCGCGGUAAUACUGAGGAUCCGAGCGUUAUCCGGAUUUAUUUGGUUUAACGGGUGCGUAGGCGGCCUUUUAAGUCAGCGGUGAAAGUCUGUGGCUCAACCAUAGAAUUGCCGUUGAUACUGGGGGGCUGGAGUAUGGUUGAGGCAGGCGGAAUGCGAGGUGUAGCGGUGAAAUGCUUAGAUAUCACGCAGAACCCCGAUUGCGAAGGCAGCCUGCCAAGCCAUGACUGACGCUGAUGCACGAAAGCGUGGGGAUCAAACAGGAUUAGAUACCCUUGUAGUC
rnacentral:rRNA from 1 species